UUCAUUUUCCAUCUUUUCUUUUGAACAAAUAACUUAUUGUGCUUUGUAUUGUGGUCAAGUUUUGAUUUUAUUUUAAAUAUAAUUUGACAAUUUGGUUGUUUUGGCGGUUUUUAUUUAAAACUCUGUAGAAGGUAAGUGAUUUAUUCUUCUUCCUGUCAUAAUGCAAGUGACGUUUUUUAUGUUUAUGCACCACCUGUGUAAAAUCUCCCAGUCCAUUAAAUCGAACGCACCGAUCUCCUUGGUAACUGCUCUGUUGUGGAGGUAAGCGCGCAUGCGCUCUCCUGUGGUGUAUGUGAAAUCUCUUUUCUUAAGCGGAGUUUUUGCGAUGUACUGUGUUGUUGUAAUUCAGCAGAAACUCAUGAAACACAAAUAGUUAUUCUCCCUUUGCUUUUAACUGGGCUAUUUAGCAGCGAGCAGACAGUCAUUAAACGUAGUGGUGCUUGUUUUAAAAGCUGGCCGUUCACAAAAACCUCGAGCUCCGAGGGGAGAGAAGCAAAGCAAGAGCAUUGAGGCUCCAGCAUAGCAGAACAGUUCAGAAACUAUCUGUAAUGAGUGGAAAUAAGCUAAUUUAUAAACAUAUUAAGUCGUGUUUUAGACUGGCUAUUGUUAGCGGAUCUGAUAUUCUUUGUGUGCUGCUGAAUUUUUGCAGGUAUAACUAUUCUGGAUUACGGCUUCAUAACAGACAGCCGUUCUUCCCUCUUCCUGGUACUGCAUACCGGCGCUGAAUAUUUUAGUGGUACGCAGUACCGGACUGUAGCGGUUCACUUUCACCCCUGACUGCAGGUGUAGCAAUAUAUUGUGUUCUACAUCUCACAUUUAAAGUAUGUGCCGCAGAGUUUUGCAGCAACUUAAAUAGUACUAAGUUUAAUAAUCUGAUAUAUCUAAAUAUGACAUGUUUGAGAUACGUUUUAAGAUCAAUGUAUAAGCAUAUUAAUUGAUAAUUGUUUUCUAUUAUAAUAUUAUAUAUGAUAUUUAAUUUGGUGUUUAUUACGUCAUAAUACAAAACACAAUCUCAUUGGGUAUGGAUUGUAACCAAUUCAUACCAUCUAUUUGUGCUUCUUCAAUAUCAUUUGUUGAUUUAAUGCGACUUUCAAAAAAAGUCACGCCCAUAAUUUGCGCGGCCGUUUAUAAACUGAUGCAUUCAAGUCGAGGUCAUUUCAGCGGAUAUAACUUGGAGUGUUGUAAAUGGGUAUUCUGUUCAGCUGAAUGUUUUUAAUUGUUCAUUUAUUUUGCUCAUUACCACUAUAUUUUAGGUGAUAUUGGUUAUUAAUGUCGAAUUUAUUUGUGUGUCUUUCAUUGUUACAACAAUAUAUUUUGUUUAGAUAAUGGCGAAUUUUUCACCCUCCAAAUUCCCAGUUAGCCGACGGGGAGGCCUAUUCGGCGAGGCAGGCGGCUCAGCUGGCUUGUUACAUGUGCGGUGACAUUAAUGUGUCGCGUCUCAGAAAGUUUUGGCAAGCUCUGUGAAUUGCUUGCCAAAAGUUAGCGUCUGAGGCGGGUUGCAGAACAAUGGUCCGGUGUAUUGGGGAAGCAGAUGAAACUGAUGGAGAAGUUGGCCAAAAUGAAGGCGCAGGUGGAUGUUUUGGAAGGCUCCUCGGCAUUUUAUGAUGAUGGUAUGUGUUUCGGUAGUGUUGAUAUUUGCUGUUUUUUAGCAGGGUACCCGCAGGGUCUUAAAAGUAUUUAAAAAGUCUUGAAUUUUUUACUAAAUAAUUAAGGCCUUAAAAGUAUUAAAUUUUGAAGACAAAUUAUAAAAUGUGAUUUACAGGUCUUAAUUUAUUUUGUCCUUUAGUGAGACAAUAAAUGUUAAAAUGUCCUAAAAUACUGAAGCAAAAUGUGUUGUUGGUGUGUGCAAGCAAUGUAAGAAUUAACGCGCCCAAUGACGAAUAUCCGUUUUACGAAGAGCACGUCAGCCGAAUUUCUCCCGCGGGCUCAGUGAGUGGUGGGAAAAAACAACCAGCAACGUGGGUACUGCAAGUAAUCAUCGGUAGUACAGCCGGUGAACCUGCGAGCUCAUUCGCCAACUCUUCGGGCAGAGCAGAGGUGAUUUGGAUCCUGAAAACAAUUUCGGACCACCACUCAUUUACUUCGAACGAUGAAAUUAGCGUAAAGUGGAUUGCUGUACUUUUUGAACCUAAUCUGCAUUUUAUCUCUUGUAUAACCAAAAGGUUGCUUGUAAGGCAAUAGUGAGUGGUGUUGACUCUUAAUGUGAGAAACAUGCAUUUUUAUUUUUAUUUUGUUAUUGCACAGCUCACAAAGUUAAUGUCUAAUAUAGAAAGUCUAUUAUAGAAAGUCUAAAUAAAAUAAGUUCAAGUACCUGGCGAUUAUUUUCUCAGGCUUAAAAUCCAUAGAUUUUUUUAUUAUAUCAUUCAUAAUUUUAUUGCUAUAGCUGUGAAAUUUGCAUUAAAUUUCCUUCUAGGUGGUCUUAAAAAGGUCUUAAAUUUCACUUGAAGAACCCUGGGGUACCCUGUUUAGACAGGCAUAUAAACAAGUUACAUUCAAGUAAUUAUUGUCAAAAUCAAAGUACUUUGCAGGUCAUGCAAACCACAAAUUGUAGUAAAAGUAUGGCUAACUUCAUGGUAGUUUCAUUUCAAUACUAUCAUGGUAAACUAUAUUCAUCUUGUCAUUGAUACUAUUGAUAUUUAGAUCAGUACAUCUACAUUUAAUUGUACUACUUUUGGGUAUUAUUGUUUGUGUAAUUGUACUUGUCUUCUUUAUUUGUUGUUUAAAGUACGAUAUUAAUGUUAUAUUAGUUUAGUAAUUAUUGAUGAUUUUCCACACAUUUAUUGUUUUCUUUGUUGCAUCAAUAAUGUCAGGGUCAUAACAAUGGCAGUUUUUUGUUGAUUUCAGUAAUAACUCAUAUGUGCUUUAUAUUUUAUUUUACAGUAGAAAUGCAUUUUAUGAUAAUAUAGAGUGGAGAGAACAAGUAUUUCAUAGUAGUGAUUUUGGAAGUUUUUCCUUUUUAUCUAAGGUUGUUUUGAACUGUGACUGCUAAAUUUAAAACACAAAUUCUGAGAAAUCACAUUGUGUAAUUUUAAAGUCAUUAAUUAGCACUUUAUUGCAUGACAUAAGGUAUUGAUACAUGAGAAAAACCAAAGUUAAUAUUUGUUACAUAAACCUUUCUUUACAAUUACAGAUAUCAGAUGUUUACUGUAGUUCUUGAAAAGAUUUGUACACACACUGGAGCAGGGAUUUUAAACCACUCUUGCAUACACAUCUCCACAUCUUUCAGGUUUCAGGGCUGUCGCGGGGCAAUAUGGACUUUGAGAUUCCUCCAUAUAUUUUUGAUUGGGUUCAGGUCUGGAUAGUGGUUAAGCCACCCUGGCUAUUUUCUGUAGUGUAGUCCAUCCCUGUAUUGUGCAGAUCCAUUAUUUUCUCCCCAAUAUCCAUACACAACUGUUUGGUUUUGGCCAUUGUGGAGAGGUUGGCGUUUUAUUGAGUGUGUGGACUUUUUACAUACCGAUAAGGAGUUCAAACAAGUGUAUUUAGUAUAAGUAAUGAGAGGGGAACAGGAUGACAUGUUAAAAAAGAAUUAGCAGGCCUAUGAAAGUCAGUGGUUGUUAAGUGAGGAAAUACUUAUGUCAUGCAAUAAAAUGAAAAUUAAUUUCUUCUAAAUUAUGCAAUUUAUUUUUUUUAGAUUUGUUUUUAGAGCCUGUCACUCACGGUUAAGGAACAUUUUUGAUAAAAGUUAAGCAGUUCUACAUGCUUUCCGAGUGGGAAAACUAGCCAAAUCGGCAGGGUAUGAAAUACUUGUCACUAUUUUCUAAAUUUUAUGUUUUUUUACAUAAAUAAUAACUUCAUAUUUUUUCUCUCUUCACCCCCCCCCCCCUUUCUAAAAAAACUUACAGAUAAAAUGGAUGCGUCUAAUUUUGUCAUUUAAAAUAAAAUUGUUUGUUUAAUUUGA